UCAAUGUACUCUCCCAUUUCCUUCUCUCACAUGCUUUUAUUUUUUUCAGUUUAUUAUUUAUUUAUUAUUUUUUAAAAAGAUUUUAUUUAUUUAUUCAUGAGAGACACACAAAGGGGGGGUAGAGACACAGGCAGAGGGAGAAGCAGGCUCCAUGCAGGGAGCCCGACAUGGGACUCGAUCCCAGGUCUCCAGGAUCAUCCCCUGAGCCGAAGGCGGUGCUAAACUGCUGAGCCACCUGGGCUGUCCUUAAAAGAUUUUAUUUAUUUAUUCAUGAGAGACACAGAGAGGGAGACAGAGACGUAGGCAGUGGGAGAAGCAGGCUCCCCAUGGGAGAUAGCAGAUGCUCAACUGCUGAGCCACCCAGGUGUCCCUCACAUACUUUUAUUUGAAGCUAAUAUCGAGGGCCUGCUUCAUGUUGGGCACUGUGUUUAUAUGCAUUGUUUCCUGGAAAACAAUCUUGUGAAGAAACAUCAUGAAACCUUAGUUUCUGGAAGAGAGAAGUGAAGUUGUGCAAGGAACCUAGUGUGCCCAGUAUCCCCCACCUACUUACAGGAUUUGAUCCCUAUGGUCUGACCUCAGAUCUCCUGCCCCAUUCACUGUACUAUGCAGACCCUCCCGGACAGGUGAUGCCUGUGUCAUGUGUGUCUCAUUCAUUGUUAAGGUGAAGGUUUGUCCCUGAACCUGUCAUUCAAUUAAUUCAAGAAAGUGGCUGAUAUUGUCUCAUUUCUUGCUUACAAGACUUGAGGCUCUACAUCUCUACGCCCUUAGGUGAAACCUGCCCAGGUCUAUAGCCCACAGGUCCCAUGAGAGUCACUUGUCUUUUCUAGGUCCACCGUUGUAGAUGGCCCUAGAGGGGACCACCACAGAAGGGGGAUGAUGCCAAAGCUACACAUGAAGUCCUGCUCCAAUGCCCAUUCUCUGUAUGAUCUUUAGGAAAUUCUUUAGCUGCGUGGAAGGUGCUGCUCUGGGGGUCUGUGCCCUCCAGGAACUGUUUGGAAAUGAUUUAUGGUUCAAGAUGGCGCCAGUCCUUCCUCAACCCACCACUGUAGACAAGGGAGGGAUAAGCUGGACCCUGGGAAGCAAGGCCUGCAUUAUCUCGGAAUGUGCAUUUCUGUUGAUAACAUGUUCAUUGUCUCCACUAAUAAGUUAUGGUCCUGUUUUUGUCUUGCCUCUGGAAUGGGAUGUGUCAAAUUCAGGCAAAAUAAGGAUGUUCCAUUUCAAAUUUGAAAAGUUUAAUUCCUUAGUAUGUAUUAUUUUAUGA
rnacentral:lncRNA from 12 species